UAACAUUACUUCCAGUGACAGCAUCUAGAAGGCUACAGAAUAGGGAAGGAAGGAAACAGAUUUUAAUAUACGUUCUGUGGUAACCUGUGAACUUUCCACAAGUGUGCUUUUCUCUUUGCUUAAAAUAUAAAAUAUUUUUAUAAACUAAGGCCCAUGUCAUGGCACGGACACACACUUUGGUCCCAAGGUGAGGAAUUCAGACAGGGUGCAGUGGGGAUGGCUAUUUCUGCUCUAGGAUGUUGAGGUCUCAGGAGAGGAGUCUCACCAGUUGGGGUUGAUACUAACACUAGGAUCUGGACUCCUCUGGAGAUCACAUCACUGCCAGGUCUGCAGCUGAAGCUGGGCUUGCUGGCAGAGCUUCAGGAAGCCUCCCCACGAGGCCUGGGCUUCCUCCUCGAAGGCAGAACUGCAGAGCUCAUUGUGGGUGGUGGAGGGCUCCAGCAGGAGAUUGACCUGAGUGGCUCAUGGCCUUUUCAGGCUUAACUGUGGACAUUACACAGUGUUAUUUCCAGGACAUCUGUCAGUGUCUUAAUUCUGUAUCUACACAGAGAGAAAGCCAUGAGCGAACCCAGUGAGAAGGCAGUCAUCUCAAAGCCAAGGAUGGACUGCUCAAGAAAAUCCAACUCAACCUUAAAUCCCAGCCUCCAGAACAUGAGAGAAUAGUGUUCGGUCUUUUAAACAACCGGGUCUGUGGUAUUUUGUGAUGGCAGUCCUAGUAAACUAAGACAAGACUCUAAAACA